rnacentral:rRNA from 1 species
GCGAGUGAAGCGGUAAAAGCUCAAAUUUGAAAUCUGGCCGCAAGGUCCGAGUUGUAAUUUGAAGAAGGUAACUUUUGAGGUAAUUUUUUGCAUAAGUUUGUUGGAAGACAACGUCAUAGAGGGUGAGAAUCCCGUCCUGUGAAGCAAUUGCCUCUUGUAAAGUGCUUUCGAAGAGUCGAGUUGUUUGGGAAUGCAGCUCUAAGUGGGUGGUAAAUUCCAUCUAAAGCUAAAUAUUGGCGAGAGACCGAUAGCGAACAAGUACAGUGAUGGAAAGAUGAAAAGAACUUUGAAAAGAGAGUGAAAAAGUACGUGAAAUUGUUGAAAGGGAAGGGUUUUAGGGGAGACUUGGAGUUUAAUGACCAAUUUUCUUUCGGGAGGAUGUACGCAUUAUUCUCUGGGCCAGUAUGGGUUUGAGUAGUGGGAUAAAAGGUAAUCAAUGUGGCUACUCUCGGGUAGUGUUAUAGGUUUGCCCAAUACCACUCAUUCAGACCAAGGAAAGCGAUUUCUAGGAUACUGGCGUAAUCCCCUUAAACCACCC